rnacentral:lncRNA from 1 species
AACAGGACUAAUACAACAGGACUGAUACAACAGGACUGAUACAACAGGACUGAUACAACAGGACUGAUACAACAGGACUGAUACAACAGGACUGAUACAACAGGACUAAUACAACAGGACUGAUACAACAGGACUGAUACAGGACUAAUACCACAGGACUGAUACAGGACUGAUACAACAGGACUGAUACAACAGGACUAAUACAACAGGAGUGAUACAACAGGACUAAUACAGGACUGAUACAGAACUGAUGCAGGACUGAUACAACAGGACUAAUACAACAGGACUGAUACAACAGGACUGAUACAACAGGACUGAUACAACAGGACUAAUACAACAGGACUGAUACAACAGGACUGAUACAACAGGACUGAUACAACAGGACAAACACAACAGGACUGAUACAACAGGACUGAUACAGGACUGAUACAACAGGACUGAUACAACAGGACUAAUACAACAGGACUGAUACAACAGGACUAAUACAACAGGACUGAUACAGGACUGAUACAGGACUGAUACAACAGGACUAAUACAACUGGACUGAUACAACAGGACUGAUACAGGACUGAUACAGGACUGAUACAGGACUGAUACAACAGGACUGAUACUGGACAAAUACAACAGAACUGAUACAGCUGGACUAAUACAACAGGACUAAUACAACAGGACUAAUACAACAGGACUGAUACAACUGGACUGAUACAACAGGACUAAUACAACAGGACUGGUACAGGACUAAUACCACAGGACUGAUACAACAGGACUGAUACAGGACUGAUACAGGACUAAUACCACAGGACUGAUACAACAGGACUAAUACCACAGGACUGAUACAACAGGACUGGUACAGGACUAAUACCACAGGACUGAUACAACAGGACUGAUACAACAGGACUGAUACAACAGGACUAAUACAACAGGACUGAUACAGGACUGAUACAACAGGACUAAUACAACAGGACUAAUACAACAGGACUGAUACAGGACUGAUACAACAGGACUGAUACAACAGGACUAAUACCACAGGACUGAUACAACAGGACUGAUACAACAGGACUGGUACAACAGGACUGAUACAACAGGACUGAUACAACAGGACUAAUACCACAGGACUGAUACAACAGGACUGAUACAACAGGACUAAUACAACAGGACUGAUACAGGACUGAUACAACAGGACUAAUACAACAGGACUGAUACAACAGGACUGAUACAACGGGACUGAUACAGGACUGAUACAGAACUGAUACAGGACUGAUACAACAGGACUAAUACAACAGGACUAAUACAACAGAACUGAUACAACAGGACUGAUACAACAGGACUGAUACAACAGGACUGAUACAACAGGACUGAUACAGGACUGAUACAACAGGACUGAUACCACAGGACUGAUACCACAGGACUGAUACCACAGGACUGAUACAACAGGACUGAUACAACAGGACUGAUACAACAGGACUAAUACAACAGGACUGAUACAGAACUGAUACAACAGGACUAAUACAGGACUGAUACAGAACUGAUACAGGACUGAUACAGCAGGACUAAUACAACAGGACUGAUACAACAGGACUGAUACAACAGGACUGAUACAACAGGACUGAUACAGGACUGAUACAACAGGACUGAUACCACAGGACUGAUACCACAGGACUGAUACCACAGGACUGAUACAACAGGACUGAUACAACAGGACUAAUACAACAGGACUGAUACAGAACUGAUACAACAGGACUAAUACAGGACUGAUACAGAACUGAUGCAGGACUGAUACAACAGGACUAAUACAACAGGACUGAUACAACAGGACUGAUACAACAGGACUGAUACAACAGGACUGAUAAAGGACUAAUACCACAGGACUGAUACAACAGGACUGAUACAACAGGACUAAUACAACAGGACUGAUACAACAGGACUGAUACAGGACUGAUACAACAGGACUGAUACAACAGGACUGAUACAACAGGACUAAUACAACAGGACUGAUACAACAGGACUGAUACAACAGGACUAAUACAACAGGACUGAUACAACAGGACUGAUAUAGGACUGAUACAUGACUGAUACAACAGGACUGAUACAGGACUGAUACAACAGGACUGAUACAACAGGACUAUUACAAAAGGACUGAUACAGGACUGAUACAACAGGACUGAUACAGGACUGAUACAACAGGACUGAUACAACAGGACUGAUACAACAGGACUGAUAAAGGACUAAUACAACAGGACUGAUACAACAGGACUGAUACAACAGGACUAAUACAACAGGACUGAUACAACAGGACUGAUACAACAUGACUGAUACAACAGGACUGAUACAGGACUGAUACAACAGGACUAAUACAAAAGGACUGAUACAACAGGACUGAUACAGGACUGAUACAACAGGACUGAUACAGGACUGAUACAACAGGACUGAUACAACAGGACUGAUACAACAGGACUGAUACAGGACUGAUACAGGACUAAUACAACAGGACUAAUACAACAGGACUGAUACAGGACUGAUACAACAGGACUAAUACAACAGGACUGAUACAACAGGACUGAUACAACAGGACUGAUACAACAGGACUGAUACAACAGGACUGAUACAGGACUGAUACAGGACUGAUACAGGACUGAUACAGGACUAAUACAACAGGACUGAUACAGGACUGAUACAACAGGACUAAUACAACAGGACUGAUACAACAGGACUGAUACAACAGGACUGAUACAACAGGACUGAUACAACAGGACUAUUACAACAGGACUGAUACAACAGGACUGAUACAACAGGACUGAUACAACAGGACUGAUACAACAGGACUAAUACAACAGGACUGAUACAACAGGACUGAUACAGGACUGAUACAACAGGACUGAUACAACAGGA